AUCCAAGAUUGAGUGUGCUGCUGGGCCAGCGGGACCCGGACCAGAGAGGCAUUUGGGGUGAGACGAGCGCUGUUCCUCUGCUCCCAUUUCAGGUGGUGUGGGGCCGGCUGGAGCUGCUGGUGGGGGGGUGCUCAUGUAGAUAUGAUGUGGGGGAAAGUGACCCUGAGCACGCCUUCCCCUCUGCUGCAGCUGCAGUGGGUCCCGCCGGGCUCUGCCUCCG
rnacentral:lncRNA from 1 species